rnacentral:lncRNA from 1 species
AAAGAUCAAGUUAUCACACAUAUUCAAAUCUAACAGCAUGCUCCGACAACUGAACUUAUCAAUUACUUGGCCAGAAAACUCACAAAACUCAACAUAAACUGACUCAACAAACAAAGACUCAAAGACGCCCCCCUCACACUUAGAUUUUGCUUGCCCUCAAGCAAACAAAAUAAAGCAUAAGUAAGGGACAACGAAAAACACAGAACGACAC